GUCUCUGGCCAUGCCACCCUGAACAAGCUCGAUCCUGUCUGAUCUUGGAAGCUAAGCAGGGUCGAGCCUGUUUAGUACUUGGAUGGAGACCACCUAGGAAUACCAGGUGCUGUAGGCG
rnacentral:rRNA from 1 species